rnacentral:rRNA from 1 species
GUUGUAUGGUUAAGUGACUAAGCGUACACGGUGGAUGCCUUGGCAGUCAGAGGCGAUGAAAGACGUAGUAACUUGCGAUAAGCCCAGAUUAGGUAGUAACAACCAUUUGAGUCUGGGAUUUCUGAAUGGGGAAACCCACGUGCAUAAGCACGUAUCCUUACCUGAAUACAUAGGGUAAGGAGGCGAACCGGGGGAACUGAAACAUCUAAGUACCCCGAGGAAAAGAAAUCAACCGAGAUUCCGAAAGUAGCGGCGAGCGAAAUUGGACUAGCCCUUAAGCUUUACACGCGUUAGACGAACGGUCUGGAAAGUCCGACGAUACAGGGUGAUAGUCCCGUAGUUGACGACGUGUGUUCAGUGAAAUCGAGUAGGGCGGGACACGUGAUAUCCUGUCUGAAUAUGGGGGGACCAUCCUCCAAGGCUAAAUACUACUGACUGACCGAUAGUGAACCAGUACCGUGAGGGAAAGGCGAAAAGAACCCCUGUGAGGGGAGUGAAAUAGAACCUGAAACCGUGUACGUACAAGCAGUAGGAGCAGGCUUUGUCCUGUGACUGCGUACCUUUUGUAUAAUGGGUCAGCGACUUAUAUUCAGUGGCAAGGUUAACCAUCUAGGGGAGCCGUAGGGAAACCGAGUCUUAACUGGGCGUUCAGUCUCUGGAUAUAGACCCGAAACCAGGUGAUCUAGCCAUGGGCAGGUUGAAGGUUGAGUAACAUCAACUGGAGGACCGAACCGACUAAUGUUGAAAAAUUAGCGGAUGACUUGUGGCUAGGGGUGAAAGGCCAAUCAAACCUGGAGAUAGCUGGUUCUCCCCGAAAGCUAUUUAGGUAGCGCCUCGGACGAAUACUACUGGGGGUAGAGCACUGUUAAGGCUAGGGGGUCAUCCCGACUUACCAACCCUUUGCAAACUCCGAAUACCAGUAAGUACUAUCCGGGAGACACACGGCGGGUGCUAACGUCCGUCGUGGAGAGGGAAACAACCCAGACCGCCAGCUAAGGUCCCAAAUUACUACUAAGUGGGAAACGAUGUGGGAAGGCUCAGACAGCCAGGAUGUUGGCUUAGAAGCAGCCAUCAUUUAAAGAAAGCGUAAUAGCUCACUGGUCGAGUCGGCCUGCGCGGAAGAUGUAACGGGGCUAAGUAGUAAACCGAAGCUGCGGCAAUAUACUUUUGUAUAUUGGGUAGGGGAGCGUUCUGUAAGCGGUUGAAGGUGUGUGGUAACGCAUGCUGGACGUAUCAGAAGUGCGAAUGCUGACAUGAGUAACGAUAAAGGGGGUGAAAAACCUCCUCGCCGGAAGACCAAGGGUUCCUGUCCAACGUUAAUCGGGGCAGGGUAAGUCGACCCCUAAGGCGAGGCCGAAAGGCGUAGUCGAUGGGAAACGGGUUAAUAUUCCCGUACUUCUUACAAUUGCGAUGGGGGGACGGAGAAGGCUAGGUGGGCCUGGCGACGGUUGUCCAGGUUCAAGUGCGUAGGCUUAAGAGUUAGGUAAAUCCGGCUCUUUCUAAGGCUGAGACACGACGUCGAGCACCUACGGGUGUGAAGUCAUUGAUGCCAUGCUUCCAGGAAAAGCCUCUAAGCUUCAGAUUGUAAGGAAUCGUACCCCAAACCGACACAGGUGGUCGGGUAGAGAAUACCAAGGCGCUUGAGAGAACUCGGGUGAAGGAACUAGGCAAAAUGGUACCGUAACUUCGGGAGAAGGUACGCUCUCGACGGUGAAGUCCCUCGCGGAUGGAGCUAUUGAGAGUCGCAGAUACCAGGUGGCUGCAACUGUUUAUUAAAAACACAGCACUGUGCAAAAUCGUAAGAUGACGUAUACGGUGUGACGCCUGCCCGGUGCCGGAAGGUUAAUUGAUGGGGUUAGACUUCGGUCGAAGCUCUUGAUCGAAGCCCCGGUAAACGGCGGCCGUAACUAUAACGGUCCUAAGGUAGCGAAAUUCCUUGUCGGGUAAGUUCCGACCUGCACGAAUGGCGUAAUGAUGGCCACGCUGUCUCCACCCGAGACUCAGUGAAAUUGAAAUCGCUGUGAAGAUGCAGUGUACCCGCGGCUAGACGGAAAGACCCCGUGAACCUUUACUACAGCUUGGCACUGAACAUUGACCCUACAUGUGUAGGAUAGGUGGGAGGCUUUGAAGCACGUACGCCAGUAUGUGUGGAGCCGUCCUUGAAAUACCACCCUUGUAGUGUUGAUGUUCUAACGUCGACCCCUAAUCGGGGUUGCGGACAGUGCCUGGUGGGUAGUUUGACUGGGGCGGUCUCCUCCCAAAGAGUAACGGAGGAGCACGAAGGUGGGCUAAUCACGGUUGGACAUCGUGAGGUUAGUGCAAUGGCAUAAGCCCGCUUGACUGCGAGAAUGACAAUUCGAGCAGGUGCGAAAGCAGGUCAUAGUGAUCCGGUGGUUCUGAAUGGAAGGGCCAUCGCUCAACGGAUAAAAGGUACUCCGGGGAUAACAGGCUGAUACCGCCCAAGAGUUCAUAUCGACGGCGGUGUUUGGCACCUCGAUGUCGGCUCAUCACAUCCUGGGGCUGAAGUCGGUCCCAAGGGUAUGGCUGUUCGCCAUUUAAAGUGGUACGCGAGCUGGGUUUAGAACGUCGUGAGACAGUUCGGUCCCUAUCUGCCGUGGGCGUUGGAAGAUUGAAGGGGGCUGCUCCUAGUACGAGAGGACCGGAGUGGACGAACCUCUGGUGUUCGGGUUGUGUCGCCAGACGCAUUGCCCGGUAGCUAAGUUCGGAAUCGAUAACCGCUGAAAGCAUCUAAGCGGGAAGCGAGCCCUGAGAUGAGUCUUCCCUGAUACUUUAAGUAUCCUAAAGGGUUGUCGGAGACUACGACGUUGAUAGGUCAGGUGUGUAAGUGCUGUGAGGCAUUGAGCUAACUGAUACUAAUUGCCCGUGAGGCUUAACCAUACAACACCCAAGGGGUUU